rnacentral:rRNA from 1 species
UAGAUGCGUAGCUGAUGGGAAACAGGUCAAUAUUCCUGUACCGAUGUGUAGUGCGAUGUGGGGACGGAUCUUAAUAGGUCAUCCGGGUGUUGGAUAUCCCGGUUUAGUUGGAAGUAGGCGUGCGUUAGGCAAAUCCGGCGCACAUAUACCGAGGCCAACGAUCGAGCCAGCUUGCUGGUGAAGUGACUGGACGAGGUUCCAGGAAAAGCCACUAAGCUUCAGCUGCACACGACCGUACCGCAAACCGACACUGGUGCGCGAGAUGAGUAUUCUAAGGCGCUUGAGAGAACUCAGGAGAAGGAACUCGGCAAAUUGACACCGUAACUUCGGAAGAAGGUGUGCCCUAUUAGUGUGAAGUGAACAACGGAGCAUGAAUGGGUUGCAAAAAAUCGGUGGCUGCGACUGUUUAUUAAAAACACAGCACUCUGCAAACACGAAAGUGGACGUAUAGGGUGCGACGCCUGCCCGGUGCUGGAAGAUUAAAUGAUGGGGUGCAAGCUCUUGAUUGAAGUCCCAGUAAACGGCGGCCGUAACGAUAACGGUCCUAAGGUAGCGAAAUUCCUUGUCGGGUAAGUUCCGACCUGCACGAAUGGCGUAACGAUGGCCACACUGUCUCCUCCUGAGACUCAGCGAAGUUGAAAUGUUUGUGAUGAUGCAAUCUCCCCGCGGAAAGACGGAAAGACCCCAUGAACCUUUACUGUAGCUUUGUAUUGGACUUUGAACAGAUCUGUGUAGGAUAGGUGGGAGGCUUUGAAGUGCGGUCGCUAGAUCGCAUGAAGCCAACGUUGAAAUACCACCCUGGUGUGUUUGAGGUUCUAACCUAGGUCCAUUAUCUGGAUCGGGGACAGUGCAUGGUAGGCAGUUUGACUGGGGCGGUCUCCUCCCAAAGCGUAACGGAGGAGUUCGAAGGUACGCUAGUUACGGUCGGACAUCGUGACGAUAGUGCAAUGGCAUAAGCGUGCUUAACUGCGAGACUGACAAGUCGAGCAGAUGCGAAAGCAGGACAUAGUGAUCCGGUGGUCCUGUAUGGAAGGGCCAUCGCUCAACGGAUAAAAGGUACUCUGGGGAUAACAGGCUGAUACCGCCCAAGAGUUCAUAUCGACGGCGGUGUUUGGCACCUCGAUGUCGGCUCAUCUCAUCCUGGGGCUGUAGCCGGUCCCAAGGGUAUGGCUGUUCGCCAUUUAAAGAGGUACGUGAGCUGGGUUUAAAACGUCGUGAGACAGUUUGGUCCCUAUCUUCCGUGGGCGCUGCAGAUUUGAGGAAGCCUGCUCCUAGUACGAGAGGACCGGAGUGGACACACCUCUGGUGUAUCGGUUGUCACGCCAGUGGCAUUGCCGAGUAGCUAAGUGUGGAAGAGAUAACCGCUGAAAGCAUCUAAGCGGGUAACUCGUUUCAAGAUGAGAUCUGCCGGGGCCUCGAGCCCCCUAAAGAGUCGUUCUAGACCAGGACGUUGAUAGGUCGGGUGUGGAAGCGCAGUAAUGCGUUAAGCUAACCGAUACUAAUUGCUCGUGCGGCUUGACCG